CACCCUUUUAUAGUUUUAUGUUGAGCCUGGCACACAGGAAGUCCAGGAAAUAUAUGUAUUCACUUAAAACUGUGUUAAAAAAACAUUAAAAAAUGUGCAUAAAGUUCGCCUCACUUUGCUUUCUAGCGAGCCUGCAUACAUAAUGAGCUACACAAUAUCGCUAGAUAGUAGAGUCAGGCAAACUUUGUGCGCAUUUUAAGUGCUAGAGUUAAAACACAACCCCCACCAAACCCAGAAAAUUCUCUUGUCCGUUCCAAUCCACGGAUAAUUUUGCUGAGUGGAAACUAGCCUCUACAUCGAGUAUUACGCUUUAUACAUAGAGGGUCCAGAAGGGUUAAAAUGGGAACUGGGAUUUGCUUAUUUUUGGGUGGGAAAAUGGGAUUCAUGCAUUGGGACUGGGAUUCAUCAGCAACAAAACAAUAGAAAAUGGGAAUGGGAUUAAGAUUUGAGCAGGACAGCCACUGAGAUGAUGGGAUUUAUGCUCUGGGACAAUGGGAUUUAGUCAAAAUUA